rnacentral:pre_miRNA from 1 species
GGACUGAGUGAGUGGGAACCACUCUGAGUUCGCUACGUGUUUUUAUUUGUCGAGUGAACACAGCUGGUGGUAUCUCAGUCACUUAAUACCC